rnacentral:rRNA from 1 species
AGUGAACGCUGGCGGUAGGCCUAACACAUGCAAGUCGAACGGCAGCACAGUAAGAGCUUGCUCUUACGGGUGGCGAGUGGCGGACGGGUGAGGAAUACAUCGGAAUCUACUUUUUCGUGGGGGAUAACGUAGGGAAACUUACGCUAAUACCGCAUACGACCUACGGGUGAAAGCAGGGGAUCUUCGGACCUUGCGCGAGUGAAUGAGCCGAUGUCGGAUUAGCUGGUUGGCGGGGUAAAGGCCCACCAAGGCGACGAUCCGUAGCUGGUCUGAGAGGAUGUUCCGCCACACUGGAACUGAGACACGGUCCAGACUCCUACGGGAGGCAGCAGUGGGGAAUAUUGGACAAUGGGCGCAAGCCUGAUCCAGCCAUACCGCGUGGGUGAAGAAGGCCUUCGGGUUGUAAAGCCCUUUUGUUGGGAAAGAAAAGCAGCAGGUUAAUACCCCGCUGUUCUGACGGUACCCAAAGAAUAAGCACCGGCUAACUUCGUG